UUUACGAGUUGUGCAGGCCUGCUGACGGCAUUCGCGGGGCUUCUUGCUCGUGUGGAUUCUCUGAUGCUGAAUAAGGUGAGAGCUGCGAUUGAAGGUUUUCCCGCACUCACUGCAUUCAUAGGACCCCUCCUGUGUGUGGAUUCUCUGAUGCCGAAUAAGGUGAGAGCUGCGAUUGAAGGUUUUCCCGCACUCACUGCAUUCAUAGGACCCCUCCUGUGUGUGGAUUCUCUGAUGCCGAAUAAGGUGAGAGCUGCGAUUGAAGGUUUUCCCGCACUCACUGCAUUCAUAGGACCCCUCCUGUGUGUGGAUUCUCUGAUGCCGAAUAAGGUGAGAGCUGCGAUUGAAGGUUUUCCCGCACUCACUGCAUUCAUAGGACCCCUCCUGUGUGUGGAUUCUCUGAUGCCGAAUAAGGUGAGAGCUGCGAUUGAAGGUUUUCCCGCACUCACUGCAUUCAUAGGACCCCUCCUGUGUGUGGAUUCUCUGAUGCCGAAUAAGGUGUGAGCUGCGACUGAAAGUUUUCCCGCACUCACUGCAUUCAGGAGGGAGAGGAUAGCUCAGUGGUUUGAGCAUUGGCCUACUAAACCCAGGGUUGUAAGUUCAAUCCUUGAGGGAACCAUUUGGGAAUUGGUCCUGCUUUGAGCAGGGGGUUGGACUAGAUGAUCUCUUGAGGUCCUUUCCAACCAUUAUAAUCUAGGAUUCUAUGAUAGGAUCUCUUCCCUGUGUGGAUUCUCUGAUGCCCAAUAAGGUGCGAGCUGCGACUGAAAGUUUUCCCGCACUCAUUGCAUUCACAGGGCCUCUCCCCUGUGUGGAUUCUCUGAUGUUGAGAAAGGCCUGAUCUGUAAGUGAAGUUUUUCCCACACUCAGCACAUGUAUUUUUUUUGCUUUUCCCUGCAGAUUUCCUGCUGUAUUCUGGUUUCCUUAAGGCCCUUCUGAGUUCCCUGACAGGAAAUAAAUUUAUCCAUUUUCUCCCCUGGCUGGUUUCCCUGCUCUUUUUCUGG